rnacentral:tRNA from 1 species
GGCUUGUUGGUCUAGUGGCAUGAUUCUCGCUUUGGGUGCGAGAGGUCCCGGGAUCAGUUCCCGGACAAGCCC